GAUUUCAAUCAGGGGUGCCCUCUCGAAUUUUCGAGUUAUAAUCGGGCUGAGACCAUACUCUAAUUACCUGAACCAGAUAAUGCUGGCGGAGGGAGAAGGGAGCGAAAUUAC
rnacentral:ncRNA from 2 species